UACGUAGGGCGCAAGCGUUAUCCGGAAUUAUUGGGCGUAAAGAGCUCGUAGGCGGUUUAGAAAGUCGGGUGUGAAACCUCCAGGCUCAACCUGGAGCCGCCACUCGAUACUUCUAUGACUUGAGUUCGGUAGGGGAUCACGGAAUUCCUGGUGUAGCGGUGAAAUGCGCAGAUAUCAGGAGGAACACCGAUGGCGAAGGCAGUGAUCUGGGCCGAUACUGACGCUGAGGAGCGAAAGCGUGGGGAGCGAACAGG
rnacentral:rRNA from 1 species